rnacentral:lncRNA from 1 species
GUUGGUAUUCUCCUCUAUGUUCUUCGAUCUCUGCCUCUCAAAAAUAUGUACAGCGUGAUUUUCCAUUGUUUCACCAAAGAGCUCUAUUUAUACUCCUUCGAAAUUGCUUAGCCGCCUCAGCAACUCUUCAACAUUAAGUCCUCUUGUAUCACCGCCUAAUCAACUUGAUUUUAAGCUUGUCAGACCUUUUCAACUUGCAAUCCCCUGUUGUGUUGUGUUGUGAUGCUACCGCCUCUCUUACUGAGAAGGAAGAGAAAUCAAUUUUGUUUUUUGAUAAGGCUGCACUUUUAAUCACCACUUUUGUCUCUAAUUACCCUUUGAGAAGACACAUCUUACUUUCCUUUAAUUUUCCUUCGUGUGUUUGAUUUCUUUUGGACCUGUAACAUUGUUUUAAUUUCAUNNNNNNNNNNNNNNNNNUCUUUUUAGCUUUUCUUCUCUUUUGUAUAAUAUAGUGCAAAUCAAAUGAGUUAUUUAUAUAAUAAUAAAUAAUUACUCUAAAUUAGCACAAAAAAUAUAUACAUAUAAUACACUAAAUUGGAGUUUAUCA